GGACCAGCCCCCUCCUGAUCGGCGUGGCACGGGCGGCGGCAUCCAGCACCGCCGGCCGGGCUGCUGAACAGAGGAAAAUCAAGCCCUAGAAAAGCCUCUCAGAACAUCGGCACCUGUUACUGGACUUAGCUGAACACAGAAAUCAAGGGUAAAAUGCACACACCGCUAGGUUUACCUUGUUUUCUUAGCCACAUAAGCUACGGCCCUCACCUUCACCCGACAGCGUUUUAUGGCACAUUCCCUAACCUGGGAGUGAUGCAUGACGACAUCUCAGCAGUUCCCAGCAAGUUUCAAUCUCCAGACUCUUCCACAAUGUUCUUUCAGGUGAACCACUCUUUCUGCAGAUGCGGGUGAGCCAAUUAAUGAUUUACAGUGUUUUGAAGAAAAUUACUAUGAAGGCAUGUAUAUGAACCAGUCAACAUCCACCUCUUGUCACAUUUAGUUCUGGAUAUCAACAAAGCAUUGCUCAGGAAACCAUCAGCACCCAGAGUACAGAUAACAGCCGGAGAACAAAGAGCUCACACUCAAUUGAGGACCCUUCAGGAAGUUGUGAGUGUUGACAUAGUUAAGGCGCUGUUAUGAGUACUUCUUUUGAAUGUGGAAAACAGAGCAUUAUUAACAGCAAGAAGUUUCUUAUUUCUUUUGUCUGAGCUCCAGAGUUACAUAUGCUACAAGAACUUGUAAAUUUAAAGGUAUGCGUAGUAUACAAAUGAAUAAAAACACAGCCCUAACAUUUGUAAUGUAUCUGCUUUUGUUCCUUAAACAGUAACAAUACAACACAUUUUGUUCAGAAUUAUUUUAUUUGGAUUAUAGCAAUUAGUAUCACUGAUCAGUUGGCCAAAUCCAGGCAGAGAGCACAGAAUCAAUUUCACAAGGCAAAAACACAGACUAGUAUUUUAGCAUACAAACCAUUUCACUGCAUUAUCAAGUUGAAAUAUCUUUCAACCAUGCAUAAAAAAAUCUAUGCUUAGUCUUUCAGAGCUCCAGGUAAUACCAGAUUCCUAAAUAUACAAAAAAUACAUUUAACUUAUAAUAAUCUUAGUGAAUCAGACUUAUAAAAUUACAAUUUUAUUCUUCACAACAUAGAAAAAAAUACAAAAAUGACUGUAUAUAGUUUUCACCCAAGUUUCACUGACAUAUACAUCAAAAUACAUGAUUUGAUGUAUACCCAUGAAAAUUUUAAGCUGAAAGAUAGGUUUUAAAAUGACACUGCAGAUUGGUCCACACAAAUGCCAACCUUCAUAAUGACAAGGAAAAAAACCCUCUGAUAAAAAUAUCACAUUGUGAAAAAUUACAAUUUUCCUGCACUGUAACCUGCAUUCUUACUGUAAUUUACAAAUAUGAACAUUUCUACAAUUCCAGUUGUAAACUAGACACUGGUGAAAACCUUGGUCUUUUGGAGGGUAGUGACUAACUCAGAGCUGGCAGGGUGGAACAUAAAGUGCUGUCAACUGAACCAGUGCACACAACAGAGUACCAAAGCAGGGGAGGCCUGCUGGUUCGGAUAUGCGGAUAGAGAACAUGCAAGCCAAGUAAACAGCCUGUGGGGAAAAUAAACCCCCCCGCAUCUGUGACACAGCACCAAUCAAAGCUUCUAUUACAGAGUUCAUGGAAAACACUAUAAUUUCAGUGACAGAUGAGGGGAAAUUUCUUUUAUGAAGAGCAGAAACCCCACAUGUGUCAGCAAAGUCAGUGUUAGGGAACAACCCAAACAGUUUUAGGGCAUCACACUACAGUUUUCUCUCAAGAUCAUCUUCCAGUAAUUUCCAUGGAAGAUAAAUUUGAAAAAGCACUGCAAAAUGAAACACUGAAUUUUUGUAAAUUGUAACUGUAUCUUCAGACUUCAGAAUGUAAUUUGUAAAUCAACUUUGGUGGUAAGAAUUCUUACUGUGAAAGCAACUUUUUUUCUUUUGAAAGGAAAAGUAACUCCAUUUUCUUUUAAAAGGCCAUAGUUUAUUUGCAUUUGGUUCAUAAAUUGAUACUUUCAAUUAAAGUAAAUAUUCUAUAAUAAAACCGAUUCAGCAAAGGUGUUGGUUGUAUAGAAGCUUUCUCACUGCUGGCAGCUUGCUCUGCUUUUCCAUGGUGCCAGAGUUAUCUGCUAUAGAUCUGUACUGUAUCUGUCUCAUCAACAGAGCCAGGAGUUUGUUUCAUGCAGGAGUAUUACACACCCAUUUUUUAUCUCCAAAUUGGACCAAUAAAUUUGAAACCAAAUCUUUUAUUUGGGCACAGAAAUCAAAUCAAGAAAAGUUCAGGAGCUGAGCAUUGACAAUAUCCAGUAACGUAAGUAUAUGAGGAAAUCAGAUC